AGGCGGCCUCUGCACUCCGUGGACGGCAGUGUGUCCACAAAAAGUAGGCGACCCUAAGCUGUCACAGGCAGGGGGCGAGCUCCUCUAGUUGUCUUCAAAGUUCGUUUCGUCUUCGUAGGGCACGCGCCCACCCUGAAUCCCGCCUUUCCUCUCGUGAAGCUCUGCCGGGACAAGGCUGACGUGGGACGACGUGGGACGCCGUGGGCCGCGAGCACGCCCCGGCACUACUGCGGCUAAGUUUGGCCUUUCCUGGUUGCCGUCCUCCCCUACAGGCUGUGCGCCGUAGCGGCUGUUAUCCUUCUUUUCCGUCUCAGGAAAACAGCGUGCUUGGGUCUCUGUCGCCCAAGCUAGAGUGUGGUAGCACAAUCUUGGCUCACUACAGUCUCUGCCUCCCAGGCUCAAAGGAUCCUUCCAUCUCAGCCUCAGGAUUAGCUGGGACAACAGGCACAUACCAUCAUGCCCAGGCUCUCUAUGGUGGCAAAUUAUUUCAGCACUAAAUCAUGAAGGCUGGAUUCUUGAAGCCUGGCAGAGGCAAAUGUCUCAUUAAUGCUGAUCUGAGAGACAUCUGUGAUGAGCCUGAACAUCAGGCCAAUCUGCAGAGCUGAUCAGGGGCUGCUGAGUGGUUCUGAAGUGAGUCAGGCUGUGAAUGAAGACUCCACCAGAAUGAGGUGAUUACAUCUCUGUUUUCAGAAAAUGACCUCAUAACCCCCAGACUGACAUGUUGAAUUUCUCAAGGCUUAAGUGUACAUACUUCC
rnacentral:lncRNA from 10 species